rnacentral:rRNA from 1 species
GACGAACGCUGGCGGCGUGCUUAACACAUGCAAGUCGAACGGUGAUGCUCCAGCUUGCUGGAGUGGAUCAGUGGCGAACGGGUGAGUAACACGUGAGCAACCUGCCCCAGACUCUGGAAUAAGCGCUGGAAACGGCGUCUAAUACUGGAUACGAAACUGGCCCGCAUGGGCAUGGUUUGGAAAGUUUUUCGGUUUGGGAUGGGCUCGCGGCCUAUCAGCUUGUUGGUGAGGUAAUGGCUCACCAAGGCGACGACGGGUAGCCGGCCUGAGAGGGCGACCGGCCACACUGGGACUGAGACACGGCACAGACUCCUACGGGAGGCAGCAGUGGGGAAUAUUGCACAAUGGGCGAAAGCCUGAUGCAGCGACGCCGCGUGAGGGAUGACGGCCUUCGGGUUGUAAACCUCUUUCAGCAGGGAAGAAGCGAAAGUGACGGUACCUGCAGAAGAAGCACCGGCUAACUACGUG